rnacentral:rRNA from 1 species
AAUAUUCCGCAAUGGGGGGAACCCUGACGCAGCAACGCCGCGUGAGCGAAGAAGGNCUNNGGGUCNUNAAGCUCUGUCUAGCGNNNNNAUAGUGAUAGUACCUCUGGCGGAAGCCCCGGCUAACUAUGUGCCAUCAGCCGCGGUAAUACGUAGGGGGCAAGCGUUGUCCGGAAUUAUUGGGCGUAAAGGGUGCGUAGGCGGCCUUUUAAGUCAGAUGUGAAAGCCCACGGCUUAACCGUGGGACUGCAUUUGAAACUGGAGGGCUUGAGUAUCGGAGAGGGUAGUGGAAUUCCCAGUGUAGCGGUGGAGUGCGUAGAUAUUGGGAGGAACACCAGUGGCGAAGGCGACUACCUGGACGAAAACUGACGCUGAGGCACGAAAGCUAGGGGAGCAAA